UGGAACCUUUGUUUUUAGCAGUGUAUCAAAUUUUGGUUGCUAGUACUUCCUGGUUAGAAAUAGAAGAGCAAGUUGAGCGCACUGCAUUGUGGGAUACUAUAUUUUGCAGUGUUGCCAUGUCUAAAAAUCACUCAAUUUUUCACUCAUUCACUAUUCCUUAUAUAGUGAAUGUAAUUUAGUGCUGUAGGAACAGAAAUGAGUGAAUAAUAAUAGGCCUACCUAACUACUGUAUGUAUUUAAAUCAGUGACAGUAGCCUAAAUCAAUGCAACAAAUCUUCGUUCUUUUGCCUAAUAUUUUUGUUCAUAAUGAUUGGAAAUAUAAAUAACUGCCAACAAGUAUUAACAUAAGAAAAGGUGUACAUAGCCUAAUUAUAAGAUGUGUACAUGUAUUCUAUGCAUGCAAAAAUGAAUACUGUACACACAUUAUACUGUAUACACUAGAAGUAGGCAAUAGAAGUAUGCAAUUCCAAACACCCUGCAAAAAACGUUCACCUGAUACAAAUUGCCAACAUCCCCAAGCACCUGAGCCUCCAACAAACUCACUCCCUCCCUCAAGGUGACACCAGGUAACCACCUCCUGUAACCCCAUCAUUCACUUUCCAUGCUCAAUUUAUUCCCAUCCCCACCACCCUCUCAAGCUCCAGCCUUCGCCAUAGCGUAUCUUGCCAAUCACGCAUUCUCUAAGCAUUGAUUGAUUGGCCCAAGACCAAUCAAUCAUCGGCGACUGUGAAUAUGACCCCGCCCUCUCUCCAUGGCGGUACACAGACCAAUCACGGUACUUGUUCGGGAAUUUCCACUCUCAUUGAUCAGCCUCCACUUUGACGCAGUCACGGACCGUCGAGCCCGGUUCCCCCUCCGGGCAUCACGACCGAUAUCAGCAUGUAAAAACGACACAGAAACCAAGAUACAAAACAUCCCGUGCCAUAAAAGCCCCUGCCGGCAAGUCAGCCAAUCAGAGAAGAGAUGCUGUGAAAGUCCUUGAGAGCGACCUUGAUGAAAAGGGAACAGGAUGACUGAAAACAAGGGUUUAUGAGAGGCAGUGAUAAAUGGGGUUCACAGAGAGGAACAGGAAGAGAUGAAGAGCAGAGAGAGGGUAAAAGAUUGAUGGUGGCAUGUUGAACGGGAAACACACCAGUCCUACAGUGGACGGUGACUGUGCUCGGCAUCCCCCAUCUCUCCUCGUUCCCUCCCCUCCUCGUCCCUCCAUCUCACCUCCUCCCCCUCGCGCUCACUACAUUUCAUGUGGUCUUCCGGAGCAAUGACACAUUAUUACUGGCAGGUUGAGGAGGUCAAUCAAUCAGGCUUUGUGCCACAAGCCACCACAAGCAACAGCAGCGAUGGCAAACCUCCAUUAUUAUAAACCAAUCAGCAUCUUCCCACAAAUAACAAAGGCCUCUAAUUACACCCUUACAGUCUUUUACACCCCACUGGGUCCUAGUGCUCAGUUAAAAAAAUAAAUAAAUAAAAUAAAAAAUUCUUUCUAAAAUUGUUCCAUACCAGUGAUCACACAAAUGAAGCAAACAACUGCAAUCAGUUUCAUCAGGCAGAGAAUAUAUGGCUGCAUAUAAUAAGCCAUGUGAACAGGUCUGAGAUCAGCUUGCACAUGGUCUGCCAGACCCUAUUGGUAAGAAUAAUUUAAGAUAUAUGAAAUGGAAAAUCAAACUGGAGUCAUGACAAAAGGUUAGAAAGUCUCUGACCCAUUUUCUCCCCAUCAUUUCACUAUGGUAAUUAAGACUAAAUGUAGCCUCAUAAAAAGACCAAUAAAACAUUUUUAAUGGAUUCUUGGUCAAACUUAGCUUAGUGAUUUGAACUCCACCUAUAUUAUUUGUGAAUGAUACUUCAAAUCUUGUGGUUUACUGAUGAAAGAUGAAUUAUUUUUUUCAAGCGGUCAGACUUAUAAUUGACCCUUUUUCCUUGUCCAUAUCCGGUUGUUCUUGUACACAAGAAUGUAUUGUAGACAGCGCAAGCUGUGAUGUCCAAAUCACAAACAAAUUACAUUUAUGAACCGGUUUUCAGUUAGUCUGUGAAAAAGAUUAACAAAGCAGAUUCUAAAGGCACGUUCUCACCAAGGAUAAAAACUAAUGGUAAUUAUAACUUUUUUUUUUUAAGAAUUUUAAUAAUCAUUCUAAAUAAUUCUGUGAAGAUAGGGAAGUCCAUGCAGAUAUCAUUGGAAUCACUUCCAGAAUGAUUUUUUCCAGCUGAUGAACAAAAAAAAAAACAAAAAAAAAAAACAUUGACAGCCAAUCUAAAUCCACGCGGUUCUAAAGAGUGCAGGCAUUUAAAGCGGCAUUUUGAUGCUAAUUAUUGUGAGUGCUGGGUAGCUGAUUACAUGUAAUCUGGAUGUUCACCACUACAUACUACAUUACAUACUACAUAAUUCCAAAAAUUAAGUAGGCUACUUGUGUAUUUAUGUUUUAAAAUACUCGUGUAGAGCAGAUGGGACCGGGCGAAACAAUGGCCCUGGAAUGACGAGCAUCUGAGGUGGAGCCAGAGUUCCGGAGGACUGAGGUAGAGCCGGAGGGAAGAUGGAGCCAGAUGAAGCCAAAAGGGUGGAGAGAUGGAGUGCAGAGGAUAGCUUGGAAGUCUGUGGCACAGGAAGAGCGACAUCUGACCAAGGUGGAGCCAGAGGGAUGAGGGAGUCCGGUGGAGCCAUAAGGACGAUGGUUACUGGUAGACCCGAGAGAGGGGGAGCCAAGGUGGAGCCAACAGGUCGACAGGCCGAGGUGGAGUGACUGGCCCUGCAUUUCAUUCGACUCUCCUUUGUUUGGCGUUUUUUAAAACGGGUGAUUCCCCGGAGGUUCAAGAUUUAGCGUGCUCCAUGUCAAUCAUGGCGUGCCCAUUAUGACAACUAUACACCACUCCAUAGACGUGUCAAACUGCUCCAUCAUUCGUCCAUCCUAGAAGGUUCUAGAAGAGGCUUUGUGGAAAACUUGAAAGAACAGAAAAUUAUAAAAUUUAUUUUUAGGACUGUAAAAGUUCAUUGUAAACAGCUUUGAAAUUAUUUAUUGUGAAAAGCGAAAUAAAAAUAAAUUGAACAUUUUUUCACGCUUACAAAUACAAACAUUAAAUAAUAUUAAGAAAAUAUUUCAAUACUUUUCUUUAGCUGUAGUACAGUAAGAAUUUUAUAAAUCUUUGAUUUCAUGUAUUAUCGUUUAGGUGAGUUUCUGAAAGUAACUCUACCAAGCUAACUUACAUAAGGCUUCCAUGCAACAACUUUUACAUUAAAUCCUAAAAGAAAAAAUAUGUAUUAGAUUUUUACAUCCAGAUUUUUCAGAAGCACAGGAAGUAAAGAGAAAAGGAUUGAGUGAAAGAGAUAUUCAGCGAUGCUUGCUGCUAAAUAUACCAGAAUGUAAGUGCUCACGCCUCCCUGAGCAUUCACCUUGAGCUCACCAGGCCCGCCGCCACCACCAUUGGAGGAGAAUCCAGGACACCUCACGCUCUCAUUGGCCAUGAGGGGCCAGCCUGUUGCUGGGCUGUUUCCAUGGAGAUGGCUUAUCGAAGGUACCGCUGGGGCCGUCACUGGGGAAAUAGAUGGGGCAAAGAUGGUUAAUGAGAAAAAGUGAGGAUUAUGUGUGUGCGAGCGUGGAAGGGUGAGAGAGAGGCAAAAUGCAUUGAGAGUAAUGACGCAAAAAAGGAUGGAUGAAGCUAAAGAAACAGGUUGGUCACAUGUGGCUGAGAGAGUGAGUACGAGUGAAUGUGUAUCAAUCACAUUAACAUAUAUGUAUGAACGUUAAAGGUUGGUGUUUAAAGAUGAGGAAAAGCAGGUGAAAGACAGAAACAUCUUCCGACAGAGGCUGCCAGAGCCAAAUCCCUCUAUAUUUUAACAUACACUAAAAGGAAGAAACAUAUUGAAGUGAACUGACCUAAAAUGAUCGUGAGUUUUUGACUGAAUGAACUCAGUCCAGGCAGAAAAGGCAGCAAACUCAGUCACACUACACUUCAUACCUAAUUCAUCUGACUGGAGGUGCUGGAUGGAACGUUUUUGCUAUAGUUAUAUAAUAACAUGUCUGCUGGGAAUAUGAUUAAAGUAAUCCUAAAGCAAAAAUAAAUAAAUAAACAAAUAAAUAAAAUAAAAAAUAAAUAAAAUUGAGAAAUA